CAAAGAGUAGUUUAAAUUUAGAAUGUUGGCUUUGGGAGCUAGAGGUGGGAGUUAAAAUCUUCUCUCUUUGA
rnacentral:tRNA from 1 species